UGCAGUCGAGCGGGCGUAGCAAUACGUCAGCGGCAGACGGGUGAGUAACGCGUGGGAACGUACCUUUUGGUUCGGAACAACACAGGGAAACUUGUGCUAAUACCGGAUAAGCCCUUACGGGGAAAGAUUUAUCGCCGAAAGAUCGGCCCGCGUCUGAUUAGCUAGUUGGUAGGGUAACGGCCUACCAAGGCGACGAUCAGUAGCUGGUCUGAGAGGAUGAUCAGCCACAUUGGGACUGAGACACGGCCCAAACUCCUACGGGAGGCAGCAGUGGGGAAUAUUGGACAAUGGGGGCAACCCUGAUCCAGCCAUGCCGCGUGAGUGAUGAAGGCCCUAGGGUUGUAAAGCUCUUUUGUGCGGGAAGAUAAUGACGGUACCGCAAGAAUAAGCCCCGGCUAACUUCGUGCCAGCAGCCGCGGUAAUACGAAGGGGGCUAGCGUUGCUCGGAAUCACUGGGCGUAAAGGGUGCGUAGGCGGGUCUUUAAGUCAGGGGUGAAAUCCUGGAGCUCAACUCCAGAACUGCCUUUGAUACUGAAGAUCUUGAGUUCGGGAGAGGUGAGUGGAACUGCGAGUGUAGAGGUGAAAUUCGUAGAUAUUCGCAAGAACACCAGUGGCGAAGGCGGCUCACUG
rnacentral:rRNA from 1 species